UAAAUAUAUAUAUACAUUCUUCUUAUGACUAGUCUCAGGGAAUCAGGAAGAAACAUUUCUGUUUUAUUCUAUAUCUGUAGCAAGGCUUAGAAGGUGAAACCAUAUGAUCUUAUCAAUGCUUUUCUCAUAAGUUAAUUCCAAAUGACUUCCUUCUUCCUCCAAAUUUUACAAUUCUUUGUCUUCGAUGUGAAAUGAAAUACUUUAAGAAUCUGUACGGAAGUGCAAUUUCUGGGGAAAAAAAAAUGAUUACCCUGUUAAUAUAAGGCUGCUUAUGCUGAAGAACUCAUUUCCCUACACAGAAGAUUGUACUGUAAAGAAGAAAUAGUAGAUGAAGAGGUUAUUCAACAUGACUCUACUUUAAGAGAAUGCAGAAUAUCUAUUUCUGAUCACUUCUGAACAAGUAAUUGUUACCACUCCUGGUUUUCAGAAGAGAUAGGAGACAAAAAACUGUGUGAAAACCAGAUUAGGCUUUGUGGCUAUUUUUAUGUGCUUGAUGACAUUAAUUCCUCGUUUCUUCAGUUGAAAUUAAGGUACUGGAUUUCCUUUUGAAUCUGUCAGAACAAUAAUAAUAUUGAUUAAAACCUUUGAGCUCAAGCACUAUACCAGUCUGAUCAAUCAUAAACUGUUUUCAGGCCAGGAACAAUCUUUCUAAGUGGCUUGCAGAGAAGGCAGGCUGAAAUUUUUCUCCAUUAUCAUUAACAUUUUUGUGGGUUUUUAGUUUGGUUUUGUAAUUUUUUCCUCUGUGGUGUUAAUUGCUUAGCCCUGAGUGAACCUCCAAAACCUGCAAUCUAUGCUCUAUCAAAUCCAGAAAACCUUGAAAAACACUUCAGGACUGUUGAUCUCAUAAGUAAGCAAAACUCAGCAGUAAGAAAUCUAGGAAAUUUCAUUCAUUACUAGUUAUCACUCUCACUUCUCUGCAAAAAUUAUUUUAAUAGAAUCAUAGAACCCUUAGAGUUGAAAGUCCAGACAGAUGACAUCAUUGGUUCUUCUCUUGAUGCAGUGACAUCAUCGUAGAAGACCACUAGUUUGUUCAAGCAGAAUUUGCCCUUUGUGAAGCCAUGUUGGUUCUUCUAUACCACCUCCUUGCCUUCCAUAUGCCUUAGCAUAGCUUAUUUUAUUUUGCUGCCUAUUAGACUCUAUAAAAUAUCAUUGUCUAACACUAAUAUUAAAAAUAUUUUAGAUACUGCUACCAAAAGCAAAAAAAUAAGCCCAGGAGAAAUAACAAUUACGUGUUUUAUGUGAUGAUACACUUCUUAGCAUAAAUAUGUGUGUGUGUGUGCACAUGUGUGUACAUAUACCUUCAUAUUGACCUUGGGGAACCACUACAGACAUAGCCCAAACUUCCAUCACAUGAUUGUUUUAGACAGGAAUACUUUUUAUCCUCAGAAGUUAAAGAACAAAGCAGAUCAUUACCAAAUGGUUCUUAUCCAGAACAAAAGUCACUUAUUCCCUUUUCAGUUUCAUCUCAGUUCUUAUGAACCUUGCAUUUCACCAAGCCUGGUGCCAUAUUUGAUGAGCUAUUGAAUUAGUGGCCUUCUCUCUGUUCAAGUGAGUUUUUAAUACAAACAAGACUGAUCUCAAUGAAAUGCCAUCCCAAAAGAAUGCCCUUUCUUAGCACAUCUGAUCCUGUGGGUCAAGCUUUGAACUGGAUCUUCUCAAGCUGUUGCUGUAAACAACUUGGUAGACAUUUUGUACUGGACAAGGUCUUUUUCAAUAUCUAUUUCCUCUUCAGAAACCCUUCAAAACAGAAGAAUAAAAUAUCCAAUGUGCCCAGGGGUUGUUUUAACAUGAAAUAGGAUUUUAAUUUGGAAACUUCAGCAAGUUCUAUACUCAGCCCCAUACUGAAGGGGAUCACAAGAAAUUUGGAGGCAGAAAAGGCAAAUAAGGUAGACAUGGUGCUUUGACCUCUUCGUGGUGAGGCUCCCAGAUCAUUCCAUGCCUGCAGUACCCUUUCAUCACCCUCACUAGAACUUAUGCUCUACUCUAUCGCAAAAGAGAAGAAUUAGAGCAGGUUUGAUAUGGGAGUCUCUCAAUAUUAAAGUAAAUACAGUCGCUGAAGGUAAUUAAAACUGCACACAGGUAAUCUCUUAUAAUAGUCAUCUGGAUAAUCUUAGAGACAAAUUUGGGAAAAUUAAAAAAAUAGAUACAUGUAAAUUCAAGUGGAGAACAUCCAGAUGGAUGUUGCUACAUCUCUCUGCCUUCCCUACUUCUUGUUGCAUCACACAUAUGCAAAACAAAGCAUAUGAAUGACAUUACUUACUGUGUCUAACCCAUGGAUCCUGUAGACUUUGGCUGCCAUGAAAUUCCAGGGGAGAAUUCAGUUGCCACAACAUGGGUCUAUCAUGCCAUUUGAGGUGAUGUAGAAUAUCUGGUAUAGCCUCCAGUUGAAGUUUCAGGAGUGUGUGGGUCUCACAUAGGUCCUACAGUUCUUUCUACCAGUUUUUUGUGGCUGGCUUCAACAAUAUAGAGCAUCUAAAAUGUCCUUAGAGGCCUAUAUUUCAACAUCUGUCUCCUAUUCCCAUUUUUGCAAGCUAUAGAGAAGAUACAUUUUCAGUUUCAGGAGAAUCCCUAAGUUUAAGAUGAUAAAGUAAAAAAAAGAUAUUUACAACUCUUUUUUUAUUGGGACAAGUUUGCUCUUGCAGAUGCAACAAAAAGUUGGUCGCUUGCAUUUCAGCAAGACACCUGUUGCCUUUUCUAUACAUCUGCUCAGGUAGUAAAAGCUACAACAAGGAGAAGGACUUCCAGGAAACAGCUUACUAUCCAGAGCUUCCCUCACAUUCAUAGACAAACUCUUUGGGAUCUACUCUAUCAAUCAGAAAACGCUUCUAUGCCUAUUGCAGCUUGGAAGUGCAACCUGGGACACCGAUCUCUUGGGGGUAAAUGCACCAACAUGUCCUUCUCAGAUAUCAUGCACAGGGCUGCACAGGGCUCUCCUGGUGAGGUAGAAGUCCUUUAGUCAACACAUACUGCAGCAUCCACAGAGGGACCCAUGGUGGAGAAAAUCCAGGGAAACUGUUUGCCCCAAGCAAAUCUGCUGUGCAACCAGUGGGCUGGUGCUGGAUUUACAUCACAAUGAGCCCAGACUGAGCACAGCCCUGUAAGUGGAGCUGUGGGAGCACAGGGGAAAGUUCUCACCUAGCACACCUUAAAGAAAAGGUACAGUCUAAACUCCUUUAUAGUCAAAGCGGGAAUGGGCAUAAUUUAAAGCUGUACAGCUUAAAAAUGAAAAAUAAAAAAAUGCAUUCACCCUCUUUUUCCUUCCACACUUUCAUCUGGUGGAAAAUCUGAUUCAAAAGAGAGUAGUUGCUUUGGAAAAUCUGGCUAGUGUGUCAGUUCACUUUGAAAAAGAGUGGAGAACAAAAAAGCCCAGCUCCUGAGCUCAUGAUGACCCUUAAGGGAACUUAAUUAAAGGUGAUGGUGAACGAAAGGUAGGCAGUUAAGUGUCUACCCCAGACAGGAUAUGGUGAGCCAGACUUUACAAUAUGUGUAGAGAUGUCUGAUUUUUGCCCCCAUCUCUCCUUCCCAGGUGAAUGCUGGAGCAGGGGAGGAGGUAAGCAUAGCAGUGCCAUUUCUUCACUCCUGUUCCCCAGGGAAUUGAUCUCACAAAAUUUGUAUUUCACUCUGCUUUUUUUCACUCAUAUCAGGAAUCUGACCCAGAACUUGCCUGCCACUUACAAAAAAGGAAAAAGAAAGAAAGAAAGAAAUCCUGUGCAAAUAGGGGUCAUGUUCCAGUGAACUCAUGCUAAACAUAACUUUUUCAUUUCAGCUCUCCCGCCCGCCUGGUGGCUCAGCACUUAAUGCCUCUAUUCUUAUCACUCUACAGCCCUAUAAAGACAAAACCUCUGCAGCAUACAGCAGUAAGAUAGCAGGCGUCAUGGGGCUAGGUUACAGGACUUUUCAUCUAAGUGGAAUAAUUAUUAUCAUUUUACUUCGCCUCCUGCCAUUCCUUUCUCUAUUCUCCAGUACAGAAUUUUGCAUUUGCUCUCCAUUUUCACACUGCUUCAUUAAAAUCUCUCUCCAGUGCUCUCUGCUGCAGCUGCCCACAGACCUUCCAAACUCUCUUGCCAGUAAGAUCGGGCUGCAAAUACCCCAGGCUGCUCUGGGAAGAGGAUGAGCAGCCCAUCGCUGGAGCAAACCAGCAAUACAACAGGCAGCAAUCUAUAAGAGCUUUUUUUGAAACUUCGAUUUUCCGUGCUUUGUCUGGUGCUAGACGGGGGAACUGUGAAGCAGCAUGGUGUGGCUGUUAGCUUGUUACAGCAAGCAGAGAUGAAACUGUAUGAAACUGAUUAAAUCAAAAGUAGGGGGGACAUGUUCCAAACUAUUUUUUUUUUUUAAGAAAUCCUGUGCUUUUUUUGUCCUUUCUUACCCAUAGAAGAGUUGCUAUCUUAAUUUUGUUUUCAUACUUCAUCAAAAUCAGGGAGUCAAGCCUACCUUUGGCACAGGACUGCUGUGUGACCUUGACAAGUUACUCUAACGAGAUUGUGCUGAUGCUCACCAAACUCUGAAAAUGAGACCACAAGGGCACUUCAGUGUGGAUGAGAUGUCCACAUUUCACAUGGGUAGUAAAACACUGAAAAACAUUGCCCAGCAUGAUGGUGGAAGCCCCAUCCGUGGAGAAAUUCAAGAUCAGCCUGGAUGGAGCUCUGAGCAACCUAAUCUAACUAUACUUCCCAAAUUUAUAGUGGCCAAAAUUGCUAUCAUUUGUUGACAAAUAAAUAAGCUACAGUAUGAGAAAUUUGUGGUCAAAUGUAGGUGCCUUUCAUGCUCUGAAGUUAAGUUUACCACCAACUUGUCACCAGAGUACUAUGGAAUCACUCCCAGAGAAGGUGGUGGAAAUCCCAUCAAUCCUAAGGCUACAGCUGAAGAAACCAUUGGCAAAAGACAGCAAUGCUCCCCAGAGCAAUUCCAUACCAACAGCAAAGAGUUGGAGAAAUCUGAUGUGAUUCUGCUCUGCUGAUUAAUCUGAAUGGAAACAUAACACUGAGGAUACUCGUUAUUCUUCCUUUUUCUUCUGGAAUAUUUGUGAGUUCUCAAUAAAGGACUUUUCUGGACUGAUGUUUA